ACGGUCCUAAGGUAGCGAAAUUCCUUGUCGGGUAAGUUCCGACCUGCACGAAUGGCGUAACGACUUCCCCACUGUCUCGACCAGGAGCUCGGCGAAAUUGCAGUACGAGUAAAGAUGCUCGUUAAGCGCAGAAGGACGAAAAGACCCCGGGACCUUUACUAUACCUUGGUAUUGGCGUUAGGCGCGGAUUGUGUAGCAUAGGCGGGAGGCUUCGAAGCGGGUGCGCCAGCAUUCGUGGAGCCGCAAGGUGAAAUACCGCUCUGUUCUCGUUUGACGUCUAACCUCGACAAGUCAUCCUUGUCAGGGACAGUGCCUGGCGGGUAGUUCAACUGGGGCGGUUGCCUCCCAAAGAGUAACGGAGGCGCUCAAAGGUCCGCUCAGCCCGGUUGGCAAUCGGGUGUCGAGUGUAAUCGCACAAGCGGGCUUGACUGCGAGGACGACGGUCCGAGCAGGGACGAAAGUCGGAGAUAGUGAUCCGGUGCCGGCGCACGGGCGCGGCAUCGCUCAACGGAUAAAAGGUACCCCGGGGAUAACAGGCUGAUCAUUCCCAAGAGUCCAUAUCGACGGGAUGGUUUGGCACCUCGAUGUCGGCUCGUCGCAUCCUGGGGCUGGAGCAGGUCCCAAGGGUUCGGCUGUUCGCCGAUUAAAGCGGCACGCGAGCUGGGUUCAGAACGUCGUGAGACAGUUUGGUCUCUAUCCUCUGCGCUCGUUGGAAUCCUGAGGAGGCCUGCCCAUAGUACGAGAGGACCUGGGUGGACGAACCUCUGGUAUGCCGGUUGUCGCGCCAGCGGCACGGCCGGUUGGCUACGUUCGGGAGGGAUAACCGCUGAAAGCAUCUAAGCGGGAAGCCUGCUCCAAGAUUAGGAUUCCGUACGGUCUUGAACCGUUGUAGCCCGCAUGUUGAACACGUGUUUGAUAGGCCGGAGGUGGAAGUCCCGUGAGGGGUGGAGCCGACCGGUACUAACGGGCGACGGCGACACAAC
rnacentral:rRNA from 1 species